AGAAGACCAGUCAUACCCGUUACAAACCACACCACGGAAGCUGUCUUAGUGGGGGCACUUAUCAGUUAACCAAGUGUUGGUCCUUUUCUCAUAUGGCCUAGGUCAAAGUUCUGAGUCACUGUGAACAGACCAUAAUUUUCCAAAAAUGGUAAACACAAUGCACCCUUGCUCUUUCGAGCGCUGGCCCAGAACACAAGCAGGUUUAGGUUAAAAGUUUCACUAGGAUCUGUAAGACCGAUACCACUACAGACAUCUGUGGACAGACAGGCACGCAUAGUGAGGACACCUGUAACCGGGAGCAUUUAACAAACCUGAAAUCGGUGAUAACCACAGCACAAGGAUACAAUAUACAGACUGUUCUUGGGAAAGUUCUGCAUCUUUAAAUAUUAGCACGUACCCUUGUCCUUCAACUGGCCAUGUGUGCAGGGAAAAGACCUAAAAAGUACACUAUAAAGCAGAGCCACUGAAGACCCGCUAAGGGAAGCUGCUUCCAGGAGAGGAACCAGCCGGAGAGAAAGAAGUCUGCUGCAGUCAACAAAGAUGAAAGGAGUUGGAGAUCUAAAGAGUGCUUUGACAUCAGACACGGCGAUGCAGAGUCUGGAGUUUGCCCAACAUUUAGUUUUGGUCCAGUAUUUCCUCACGACGACAUUUUGGUCGUAUAUCCUAUGAUGCUGAAGGUAUGCAAUCUGCUUUUUGAUUUUGAUUUUGAUUUUAUAGGACAUUACAGCUAAGUGAUUGGAUGAAUCUAAGAAGAGACUUUGAACUUUGGAUUUUUAACAUUGUUGAGACUGUUGAAGAUGAUGGGACUUUUGAUGUUGGACCAAAUUUAUUUUGCAUUAUGGUAUGGCUAGGUAUGGCCUGGACUGACUCGUGUUUGAACAAGCCUAAGGGGCCAGGAAAUGGAUUGUGAUGGUUUGAAUAUGUCCCAUGGAAAAUAACACUAUUAAAAGGUAUGGUCCUAAAGUAGGUGUGACCUUGUAGGAGGAAGUGUGUCACUGCAGGGGUAGGCUUUGAGAUCCUCCUUCUAACUUCUUAGAAGUCAGAUUUCUCCUGAUCCUUCAGAUGAAGAUGUAGAACGCUCAGUUCCUCCCACACCAUGCCUGCCUAGAUGCUGCUAUGUUCCUGCCUUGAUGAUAAUGGAUUGAACUCUGAACCUGUAAGCCAGCCUCAAUUAAUGUUGUCCUUUUAAGAGUUACCUUGUCUGUUCACAGCAAAGGAAACCCUAACUAAAGACAGUGUGAAAGUGCAAGUGGACUGACUGAAAAUAUUGUCUAUUUCCUUUUAAGACCGUAAGUGACCUCAUCCAAGGCUUGCUGUGUUUCCUUUGAGACUACUGUAUUCUUUUUCUCCCUACUCUGAGUAAUUUACUCGGAAUUCUCAUUCUGAAUAGCUUGCAAAACCUAAUGAAAGAUAUCACUUCAGUAAUCGAUAAGUUGCUUGAGUAUGGUUUAUAAUGAUGAAAGUGGUUAAGUUUCUACAUUCUGUUUAUAGGUAAGAACUUCACAACAACAAACAAGACCCUUGCUACUGCCUCAAAUGGUUUUGUGACAAAAUAAGAAAACUUAUCUGUGGAGGAAAGUGACCAUCCAAAAAAAAGUGUCCAUAAAGCUGAAAAAGCUCAACACAAAACAGAGGAAAAGAGAAGAAAACCCAAUAUAUUUCACUAUGAUUAAAACCAAAACCUACAGUACACUAAAACUGUCCCCAAAUUUGGUACUUUUUUUCUAGUUUUAUUAUUGGAUAGUAUAAACUUUACAAAGUAGAACUUCUUUGAGUUUAUGUUUAGAAUAGAAGGGUCACAUUGACUUCUGCAUAACUAGGAGAAGACAAAUUGUGAGAUUAAAACACAAAUUUAUCACACUGGUAAUUUCAUGGAUGGUAUGAUAUGUAGAUGAAUAUCUAUAUAUUGGUAAGAAUUUACUUCUCUAUCUCCUUUUUACUAUAUAGAAACGGUAACCAGAUAGAUGGUACUAACAGAAGUUUAGCAAUGCUAUCGUUGAGAAGAAAGAGAAAUAAAUGGUUAAACUUCCUUAAAAAUCUCAGUUUAAGUCAGGCAGAAAGGUUCAUGUAGUAUUAGCAGUUGAAAAGCUGAGGCAGGGCGAUUGCCAUGAACUCUUAUAGGGCAGCUCUGGCCACAGAAUAAGCUCCAGCCUAUGUCACAAGUGAGACUUCUUUUAAGAAAAGCAAAACAAAGAGAAAGAGAAAAAAAAAUCAGAAACCACCAGUAAAAUCAAACAAAUGUACUUUUGGCCAAGGAGAUCCGAGAGGUUCACAGCUCCAAACGAAUCAACAACUGAAUGCUUUAUACUGUAUGUUUGUUUAUGGACUUUUAAAGCAGUAAUGUUUGUGUGAAUACCAGAUUGUUGGAGGUUAGGAGAGACUUGACUUUGUAAAUAUUGACUGUGCCACGAAUAAGAUAUUAAAAUGGUUCUCAGACUUGUGAGAGCAACCUAAA